AGAGUUUGAUCCUGGCUCAGAACGAACGCUGGCGGCAGGCCUAACACAUGCAAGUCGAACGCCCCGCAAGGGGAGUGGCAGACGGGUGAGUAACGCGUGGGAACAUACCCUUCGGUUCGGAAUAGCUCAGGGAAACUUGGAUUAAUACCGGAUACGUCCGUAAGGAGAAAGAUUUAUCGCCGAAGGAUUGGCCCGCGUCUGAUUAGCUUGUUGGUGAGGUAAUGGCUCAUCAAGGCGACGAUCAGUAGCUGGUCUGAGAGGAUGACCAGCCACAUUGGGACUGAGACACGGCCCAAACUCCUACGGGAGGCAGCAGUGGGGAAUAUUGGACAAUGGGCGAAAGCCUGAUCCAGCCAUGCCGCGUGAGUGAUGAAGGCCUUAGGGUUGUAAAGCUCUUUUACCCGGGAAGAUAAUGACGGUACCGGGAGAAUAAGCCCCGGCUAACUUCGUGCCAGCAGCCGCGGUAAUACGAAGGGGGCUAGCGUUGUUCGGAAUUACUGGGCGUAAAGCGCACGUAGGCGGAUUUUUAAGUCAGGGGUGAAAUCCCGAGGCUCAACCUCGGAACUGCCUUUGAUACUGGGAAUCUUGAGUCCGGGAGAGGUGAGUGGAACUGCGAGUGUAGA
rnacentral:rRNA from 1 species